GACGAACGCUGGCGGCGUGCUUAACACAUGCAAGUCGUACGGUAAGGCCCUUUGGGGGGUACACGAGUGGCGAACGGGUGAGUAACACGUGAGUAACCUGACCACAACCUUGGGAUAACGCUAGGAAACUGGUGCUAAUACUGGAUAUGUGCUACUGCAGCAGGGGGGGGGUUGGAAAGCUCCGGCGGUUGUGGAUGGACUCGCGGCCUAUCAGCUUGUUGGUGGGGUAGUGGCCUACCGACGCGGCGACGGGUAGCCGGCCUGAGAGAGUGACCGGCCACAUUGGGACUGAGAUACGGCCCAGACUGCGACGGGAGGGAGAAGGGGGGAAUAUUGCACAAUGAGCGCCGGCCUGAUGCAGCAGCGCCGCGUGCGGGAUGACGGUCUUCGGGGUGUAGAACGCGUUCAGCAGGGACGAAGCUUUUUGUGACGGUACCUACAGAAAAAGCAACGGCUAACUACGUG
rnacentral:rRNA from 1 species